rnacentral:tRNA from 1 species
GCCGCUAUAACUCAGUGGCUAGAGCGUUGGUCUACUAAAACAAGGUCGCGAGUUCGAAUCUCGUUGGCGGCC